rnacentral:rRNA from 1 species
AUUGAACGCUGGCGGCAUGCUUUACACAUGCAAGUCGAACGGUAACAGGCCGCAAGGUGCUGACGAGUGGCGAACGGGUGAGUAAUGCAUCGGAACGUGCCCAGUCGUGGGGGAUAACUACUCGAAAGAGUAGCUAAUACCACAUACGAUCUAUGGAUGAAAGCGGGGGACCGUAAGGCCUCGCGCGAUUUGAGCGGCCGAUGUCAGAUUAGGUAGUUGGUGGGGUAAAGGCUCACCAAGCCAACGAUCUGUAGCUGGUCUGAGAGGACGACCAGCCACACUGGGACUGAGACACGGCCCAGACUCCUACGGGAGGCAGCAGUGGGGAAUUUUGGACAAUGGGCGCAAGCCUGAUCCAGCAAUGCCGCGUGCAGGAAGAAGGCCUUCGGGUUGUAAACUGCUUUUGUACGGAACGAAACGGCUCUGGUUAAUACCCGGGGCUAAUGACGGUACCGUAAGAAUAAGCACCGGCUAACUACGUG